UCGGCCGCGAUAGCGGCGGUUGGAGGCACGUGCAGAAGUGGCAGCGUCUCUGGACGCGGCUGCCGAGCGAGAGCGCCUGGCUCUCUUUUUCGGUCUAUACAGACGUCUAUAUAUAUAUACCGUAUAUAUAUGGGGGAGAGAAGAUGGCUCCCUUCCCUGAGGAGGUGGAUGUUUUCACGGCCCCGCACUGGCGGAUGAAGCAACUCGCCGGGCUUCACUGUGACAAGCUUUCUAAGACCAACUUCUCCAACAACAGUAACUUCGGGGCUCUCCUUCAAUCCCUAUAUGCUACUUUUAAGGAAUUCAAAAUGCAUGAACAAAUUGAAGAUGAAUACAUAAUUGGAUUACUUCAGCAAUGCAACUGGAGUGUGUCUAAUGUACACUCAGAUAAUAAAUUAUUAGAAAUGCUUGGCCUCUGAGAAAGGGUUGAAGAAUGUGAAGGACACAGGGCUCUCCAUGGGCCUUGCAGUGAGGUGGUCGAGCAGGGCCUGGCAGCAGUGACUUCCCCAGGGCAGCGGGCUGGUUUGAACUAGAGGGAACAGAGCCUUUCCCACAAUCCAGAGCUCCUCUGGCAUGAGCUGGACAUCCUGCAGCUCUGACAAUGCUAGCGCAAGAUCAGCCAGGAUAUAGUCAAUGCGGGUGCUGUAGUUGAGCUGCCGGGACCCGGUUACGUUGCACCUGUGUCACUCUGACCAGGGUGCAGAAAACGGAACGUGUUGACAAAGCAUUUCCCAUCCUGGGAAUCCUUGUCUGGCUCCCACAAGAAACUGUCCAGCCAGCGACGCCUGGGAUGCUCCUGAAAGGAUUGAAGAUCUCCUGGGUCACAGUGGUCAAUAGACUUGUGUGCUGUGUUGAUGUCCCCCAGGAUGACCACAUAGCCUCUGGCUUUUUAGGGUCUGCAUGAGGGCAGUACACAUUGAUGACUGUCAGCAUGGUCUCCUGCUGUUCUGAAGUGCGAAUACGGUGACGGGGGGGGGGAUCACAGCCUGGCCCUCACUAUCCAAUGCGCUGCAGUCUAAGCAGGUUUUUUUUCUUAAUCAUACUUGUCCCAAUGUU